ACGAACGCUGGCGGCGUGCUUAACACAUGCAAGUCGAACGGUGAAGAGGAGCUUGCUCCUUGGAUCAGUGGCGAACGGGUGAGUAACACGUGAGCAAUCUGCCCUUGACUCUGGGAUAACUGCGGGAAACUGUAGCUAAUACCGGAUACGACCUUGGAAGGCAUCUUCUGGGGUGGAAAGAAUUUUGGUCAAGGAUGAGCUCGCGGCCUAUCAGCUGGUUGGUGAGGUAAUGGCUCACCAAGGCGACGACGGGUAGCCGGCCUGAGAGGGUGACCGGCCACACUGGGACUGAGACACGGCCCAGACUCCUACGGGAGGCAGCAGUGGGGAAUAUUGCACAAUGGGCGAAAGCCUGAUGCAGCAACGCUGCGUGAGGGACGAAGGCCUUCGGGUUGUAAACCUCUUUUAGUAGGGAAGAAGCGACUGGGUUUUCCUGGAAGUGACGGUACCUGCAGAAAAAGCACCGGCUAACUACGUGCCAGCAGCCGCGGUAAUACGUAGGGUGCAAGCGUUGUCCGGAAUUAUUGGGCGUAAAGAGCUCGUAGGCGGUUUGUCGCGUCUGCUGUGAAAACCCGAGGCUCAACCUCGGGCCUGCAGUGGGUACGGGCAGACUAGAGUGCGGUAGGGGAGAUUGGAAUUCCUGGUGUAGCGGUGGAAUGCGCAGAUAUCAGGAGGAACACCAAUGGCGAAGGCAGAUCUCUGGGCCGUAACUGACGCUGAGGAGCGAAAGCAUGGGGAGCGAACAGGAUUAGAUACCCUGGUAGUCCAUGCCGUAAACGUUGGGAACUAGAUGUGGGGACCAUUCCACGGUCUCCGUGUCGCAGCUAACGCAUUAAGUUCCCCGCCUGGGGGAGUACGGCCGCAAGGCUAAAACUCAAAGGAAUUGACGGGGGCCCGCACAAGCGGCGGAGCAUGCGGAUUAAUUCGAUGCAACGCGAAGAACCUUACCAAGGCUUGACAUAUAGAGGAAACGGUUGGAAACAAUCGCCCCGCAAGGUCUCUAUACAGGUGGUGCAUGGUUGUCGUCAGCUCGUGUCGUGAGAUGUUGGGUUAAGUCCCGCAACGAGCGCAACCCUCGUCCUAUGUUGCCAGCACGUAAUGGUGGGAACUCAUGGGAUACUGCCGGGGUCAACUCGGAGGAAGGUGGGGAUGACGUCAAAUCAUCAUGCCCCUUAUGUCUUGGACUUCACGCAUGCUACAAUGGCCGGUACAAAGGGCUGCGAUACCGCAAGGUGGAGCGAAUCCCAAAAAGCCGGUCUCAGUUCGGAUUGAGGUCUGCAACUCGACCUCAUGAAGUCGGAGUCGCUAGUAAUCGCAGAUCAGCAACGCUGCGGUGAAUACGUUCCCGGGCCUUGUACA
rnacentral:rRNA from 1 species